GGGCUUCAUCACCCGAUGGGGAAGAUACAAUGGAUUCUCCUUCGACACUAUAGCAGUUGUAUGUGAUUUAGAUCCUUCAGCCUGCCCAUAAUUCCAUGGGACUUUGUGUAGGCUGACAACAGGAUAUUGUGGUCUGAAUGGUAAGUUAAUUGGCUCUGGUACAACCACUUUCAAAGGAUUGUCAGCACCUUUAAGUUGAAUUGCUUGUAUUAUGAGUGGUCUGGCAGCCAAAUC
rnacentral:lncRNA from 1 species